GAUGAACGCUGGCGGCGUGCCUAAUACAUGCAAGUCGAGCGAACAGACGAGGAGCUUGCUCCUCUGACGUUAGCGGCGGACGGGUGAGUAACACGUGGAUAACCUACCUAUAAGACUGGGAUAACUUCGGGAAACCGGAGCUAAUACCGGAUAAUAUAUUGAACCGCAUGGUUCAAUAGUGAAGGACGGUUUUGCUGUCACUUAUAGAUGGAUCCGCGCCGCAUUAGCUAGUUGGUAAGGUAACGGCUUACCAAGGCAACGAUGCGUAGCCGACCUGAGAGGGUGAUCGGCCACACUGAAACUGAGACACGGUCCAGACUCCUACGGGAGGCAGCAGUAGGGAAUCUUCCGCAAUGGGCGAAAGCCUGACGGAGCAACGCCGCGUGAGUGAUGAAGGUCUUCGGAUCGUAAAACUCUGUUAUUAGGGAAGAACAAAUGUGUAAGUAACUAUGCACGUCUUGACGGUACCUAAUCAGAAAGCCACGGCUAACUACGUG
rnacentral:rRNA from 1 species